rnacentral:pre_miRNA from 1 species
AUAACAUUUGGACCGUUGGUCUACCGAGCAAUUUCACCGGCUCGAUAAUAGAUCUUCCCUAUGUCGU